rnacentral:lncRNA from 1 species
UUUUUUUUUUUGGCAAAGUAUAUUUCAUAUGCCUAAAAGUCCAAAAUAAUACUUAUUCUCUUACUGCAUGGGUAAAACAAAUGACUAGGUACAUAGUGGAGAUAAUCAAUAUUGACAUUUUAAUUAAGCACCCUAAGCUUAAACUAUGAUUCAAAACCUAAAAAAGGAAAUGGUUGGGUUAAUUGUUAAACAAAAAGUUAAACUAUGGUUAAUAAUUAGAGAAUUAAAAAAUAGAAAAAGAGAAGAUAAAGUGAAGGUGUGGGCUGGAGAAUUCAAUUAUUAUAAGGUUUAGUUUUUUAGGUCUUUGGAAAUUGCAAGUCCCAAGGCCAACUAAUAAUGACCUCGAUCUUUGCGCUAACCGGACCGUCCAUCUACUCUUCCUUUUACACUUGUUCAUGAUUCAUAGAAAUAUUGAUGGUAGGAGAAAAAAAUAAACAAUUAGCGUUAGUAAUCAUUUACCUAGUUAAUAAAAUACACCUUGUUAACUUUUAUAAUUAAACUUAAGUAAUUAUGGCCAUCGAUUGGUAAUUUAUUUUAUACUCCAUUUCAAUAUUCUUAAACUAAGAAGUAGGUUUGGGCAAAUUAAAUAAUUAAUCGAAUCGAAGGAUCGAAUCGUAUCCAUUGUAUCCGAAAUAGAAAGAACCGAACUAAACUUAACCGAAAAUUUGAAAAUAUUUGAAUGGAUACUAAAUUUUAAAAUUGGUACCGAACCGAAAUACUUUAAGUAACCAAAAAUACCCGAAAUACUAUUAUAUGUCCAAAAAUAUUAGUUAUUUAUCUCCAAAUAAUCAAAAAUACCUAAAAAUACUCGAAAAUAACCAAAAAUAUCCAAAAUAUCCGAAAAUACCCAAAAAUAACCUCCGAGUAACACACUAACACUUCGUGAGGAUUGAGUUUGUUCGCUUUGUGAUGAAGUACAAAAGGAGUCGAACCAGAAUUGGCACCGGUUUAAUGGAGUAAUCGUUUUUUUUUAAUAAGAAAAGAGUAAUAGUUUAAGUAUGAUUACGACUAAUCAAAUUAUUUUUAAGAUAUUUAUAAAAUGAAAAGUGGAGAAUUCCACUGCGUUGUCCAAUGUCAAUAAUAGAACUAUAGAAGGAUAUAUUUUUUGAAAAGCCUAAGAAAUAAUUGUAAUCUUUUUUCUCGCUAGCAAAAUAAUUGUAGUUUAAGACCUCUAUCGACCACGAAGAUCUCGUAGAUUAUUUGACUAACCAAGAUGUACGAAUAAUUUUUAUUAGAAUAAAGUUUCUCAACUCUCAAGUUGCCUAAACUGACAGAAUGUAACAACUUGAAUAUCUAAUUAAACUAAACUAUUCCAAGAUACAGUAAAAGAUCUAAUUAUAUGUUCAACAAUGAAAUAUUAUUUUAAAAUUUUUAACAUUAUUGUAAUUGCUAUGAAUAUUUUAGUAGUAAGUCUUAGCAGUACUGUUUACAUCUAGACUUGAGCUGAAAAAAAUAUUCUUGAGCGAAAGCAAGCGGUCAAAAGACACAAAAAUAACUUUAAAAAAAAAUAAUAAUAAAUCUCCAACAAACCGUGCAUGAAAAUAAAAGUAUUUGUUUAAGAAUUUACCUAUGAUUCGGUACAAAAUCCAAAACAUUGAACAUGAAACCAAUAAUUGUUAUGAUUAUUCGCAAGCAUUAUUCUACCAUAUAGUAUUUUAUAUAAACACUGGGCAAUAGAAAGAUUAACCCUCUUUUUAUAGUAUAUGAAAAAAAAAACAUUUGAAUAUGGAAACUUGAACUUAUUCAACAUUGAAACUAGCUGAUAAAAUCAUAAAAGUAUGCACAUGUAAGACAUGACUGACUAAAAAAAUAAGUGUUGACCAAAAAAAAAAGUGUAAAGACUGACUAAAAGUAAGCUCAUAAAAAUAGUCUUUACACUUUUUUUUUUGGUAAGGAAAAUAGUCUUUACACUAAUAUUUGUGUAAAAUUAUUUCGAUAUUUAUAGUAAGACAAUUAAAAAUAUUGUAUAAAGUAAGCUUAAGCUAGAUGGAUUUUAAAGGAAAUAAUAUUUUACCAGACAAACCUAAUUCAUUAAUUAUAAAAACAAGAAAAGGAAAUCAUGAAAGCCUGUUUUUCGAGGAUUUUAAUAACAAAAAAUAAAAUAAAAUAAUAGUAGAAUAAAAUAACCCCAAAAUGAAAGUUGUCACUGUCAACUGAUUGUAAUAAUUGGAAUAACUACGUGUUUAAAUUAAACCAUACAGAUUUAACUAAUCAAAUCAAUUUUAACCAAUCUUUGAAACUAAACCUUUUAGCUCAAAAAAAAAAAUAAAAAAAUAAUCCGCUGCAAAUUAUAAUGCUUGAAUACUUUGGCUAUGGCGGUGUUUAUGUUUAAUGAUCAAAAAGCUCUGUUUUUUAUGCAAGCGUGGGUAUAAAUCCAGAACCUUUUCCGAUUUUAUUUUUCUUCUCCUUUCUUCUUCUUCUUCACUUCCUUUUUUUUUUUCUUCUCCAUUUCUAAAAAAAACCACUCGUUUGCUUAUCUUUUUCUCUCUCUGUCUCUCUCUCUCUCUCUCUGCAGCUGAAGAACAGAGAAAAGGGUUUUUAUUAUCUGACCCAAAGGACCCAGUUUCAAUUCAGCUUUUGUUGUUAGAAAUUGAGGAAAAAGAUUCAAAAUUUGUUCAUAAAGUGGUGGCACAUAUUCUGUAAUAUGGGUAUCUUUCUUCUGACUCUUUUAGCUCGAUUAUUAGCUUAAAUCUGGUUUAGGGUUUUUGGAGUUUGCACGGAUAAAUCAUGAUCCUUUUUGUCUUCCGUUGACUGAUACUGUUCCUUUUCUGAAUCUAGUGAUUUGGGUUUCUCUUGUUCUUCAUUGAAUCAUUGUUCUUCAAGGUGGAUGUAUCACUAAAAAACGAAGUUGAAUGUGUUUGUGUGGUGGUUGGUUUGUAGUGGUUUUGAUCUUGGAGGUUUUUUGAUUAGUGGUGUUCAUCAAGUUUUAGAAUUGAAGAUGGAUUUAAGUGAGAAAGAUGAGUUUUCAGCAGAGAAGAGGAAUCCUGAUAACUAUGAUUCGGUUAAUAAUCCGUCUGGAGAUUGGCGAGUUUCGGGUUCUAACCCGAUUGAUUCAUAUCCUUCAGAGAAUCUGAUAUCAGCUGGUCCUGCGUCUUGUUCUCCAUCUCAGAUGAUGGAUUCAUUUGGGCAAACUCUUUGGUAUGAUCCCACUAGUGUUCAGGCUAUGGGUUAUGGCGGUUUUAGUGUCCAGAACAAUGGUGGUAAUGCUUCGUCUUCUUCGUUUAGGGGUAAUAUUGAUAGAUCUCUUGAAAUGGGUUGGAACUUGCCUAAUUUGUUGCCUCCUAAAGGCAAUGGUCUUUUCCUGCCGAAUGCGAGUACUUUCCUUCCUCCGAGUAUGGCUCAGUUCCCGGCUGAUUCAGGGUUCAUAGAGCGUGCUGCGAGGUUUUCGCUUUUUAGUGGUGGGAAUUUUAGUGAUAUGGUGAAUCAACCACUUGGGAAUCCUGAGUCGAUUGGUUUGUUUCUUCAAGGUGGUGGAACAAUGCAAGGGCAGUGUCAAUGUGAUGAACUUAAUGUUGGUGAACCUCACAAUGAUGUAUCUACAGCAGUGAAAGACCCAACUGUUAGAUCUUGUGAACAAGCUAAACCGAAUGUUCCUGGAUCGGGCAAUGUAUCCGAGGAUACUCAGUCUAGUGGUGGUAACGGUCGGAAAGGUAGAGAAACUUCUUCCAACACAAAGAAGAGGAAAAGAAAUGGGCAGGUGAAGAUUUGAAGUUACUCUUCUAUUUUUGUUCUCUCAGCCUUUUUAUGUUUCUUUUUAACAUUCGUAAUCUUUUCGGUUUGUAGAAUUCUGAAGCAGCUCAGUCACACAGAUCUCAGCAAUCUGAGGAAGAACCAGACAAUAAUGGUGAUAAAAAGCGGAAUAGUGAGCAAAGUCCAAAUUCACCUGGAAACAAGACAAACAGUGGGAAACGACAAGGCAAACAAAGUUCUGAUCUUCCAAAAGAUGGAUAUAUUCAUGUGCGGGCACGAAGAGGCCAGGCUACAAAUAGCCAUAGUCUUGCAGAAAGAGUAGAAUUUCUACAACUAUCUUGGAAGUUGAGUAGAAGCUAUCUUUUAUGGUAUUUUCAUCUAAUUAACUUUGUGAUUAUAGGUUAGGAGAGAAAAAAUUAGUGAAAGGAUGAAGUUUCUUCAAGAUCUUGUACCGGGUUGCAACAAGGUAAGGUCUUUGUUGAUAAUGAUGGAUAUUAAUAUGUAAGAACAGAGACAACGCUAAUGCAGAAAAAUAAAUUGUGUGUUUGCAGGUGACUGGGAAGGCAGUUAUGCUUGACGAAAUCAUAAACUACGUACAAUCACUACAACGCCAAGUUGAGGUAUGACAUUUCCUAAUUCUCAACGAAGUGCUCUUUGUGUUUGCUUUUUGUAAAUCAAUUCUUUUUCUCAUUUUCUUCUCUUUUGCUUAAACAGUUUUUAUCGAUGAAACUUGCAACUGUGAACCCACAAAUGGACUUUAACCUUGAAGGUCUUCUUGCAAAAGAUGUAAGCUAUUUUUGCAAGUCUUUUAACUAAUUCUCCUCAUCCUAAGGUUCUAGUAAACUGAAUUAUAUGCGCAGGCACUUCAACUACGAGCUGGUUCUUCAUCUACUACAACACCAUUCACCCCAAAUAUGGCAAUGGCUUAUCCUCCUCUACCACAUGGAUUCAUGCAACAAACCCUUUCCAGCAUCGGAAGGACCAUUAGCUCUCCAUUGUCUUCUAUGAAUGGUGGAUUCAAGCGACAGGUAUGUAUUAGCGAUUUAGUGGUCUGUAAAGUGAACAAUCCGAGCUCAUAAUCUGAUUUUGUUGGUGAUUAACUUUGUAAAAUAGGAAACAAAUGGAUGGGAGGGUGAUUUGCAAAAUGUGAUCCACAUUAACUAUGGAGCUGGUGAUGUCACACCUGACCCUCAAGCAGCAGCUACAGGUGAAAUCUGAAACCUGUAUUACCUUUUUUUCACCAAAUGAUAUUAGUAAUUUUUUUGGUAAACCUUCUCUGUAAUUUUUUCUUAUUACAGCAUCUCUCCCAGCUGCAAAUAUGAAGGUUGAGCCAUGAUAUUUCUUCUUGUUAGAUAGAAUAUUAAAUUAUUGUAAUCUUUUUUUUUUUUUCUUUUUAAAAGUUACUAUAUGUACUAUAUUAUAAUGAUGUUACUAUUAACGAAUACGAUACUACGACUACUACUACUAAGCCUUUGAGAUUAGUGGAAGAAGAGUAUAAAUUGUGAACACCAACAUUGCAAAAUAGUUUUGUAUAAGUCAUAACAUUUUUAGUUUGUUCUGCUAUCUCAAUAUUUGUAUUGUGGAUUCGUUGUCACGACGGAAAAUGCCUGAUACGGCUAUAUGAAAAUAUAACUCGUUUUGAAAAUUUGUCAAAUAAAUGUUAUAAUGUAUAAUAGGAUAUCCAAUGGAGUAUAGUGAUGAUACGAUUUUUGACUGAGUAUCAUAUUGUCGGAGUAAUGAAAUCAUAAGAAUAUUUGAGAAAAAAAGUCUUAACAACGAAACUAGAAAUGUUUUUUUUAAGAAGCCCUGUUUUUUACAAACCAAAGAGGAUACACACUAUUAUAUUUGAAGUAAUAUUAUUCGUUCUCUAUUUUAAAGUUUCAUUUCUCUAUCAUGGAGUGAAACUAUUUUUGUUUAUAAAUGAUAUUUUGACAUUUAAAGUUUUCUUUUACUUGAACAAUAUUAUAACACAAUUUGUAGUCAUUUAGUUAAUUAAGUUGUAGAUAAUUUAUUUUGUAAAUUAAAAACUAGUUAUAUAGAAAAAAUAAAUCAUCAAAAUACAAUAACAAUAAUAUUUCUCUACUUAAAAAUACAUAACUUUUAUUGAAAUUUUGAGUUACAAUAAAGUGAGUAGGUUAAAUUCACAAUUUAGAUAACUAAUUUUGUUUUAAAAAUGAAUAAUUAAGUGAAGAAAAAAUAUAUUUGGAAUAUUAUUUUUAGAGUGGGAAAUAGAUGAAUAUGCGAGAGAAAACUCUAACUCUAUUUAGAAUCAAAAAUAGAGUAAUGGGUUGAAGAUAUCUUUAGCGAAACACUUUUUGAACUGCAAACGGUCUAAUCACAAGUGAAUAUCAUAAAAAUAAUUUCACAUAUAUACCAUCAAACAGAUCAAAUCUAGAACUUGAAAAACCUAUUGCAAGAUCUCUAAUCCCCAAAUCUACGAACCUAUAAACGUCUAAAAGUAUUGAUCAAAGAAAACUUAUUGAACUUACCGCUAUUACUAAUGGUUCACCUGCAAAAUGAUGUUCAGAGGCUUUUUUGUCUUCAUCAUUACCUUCGACCUUCUUACUCCAUAUUUGAUAAAAAUAAAUAAAAAAUUAUAAAUAUAGUAAAAAUCUUACCGCAAUGAUUGGGAGACUCCAGUUUUGUGGAAAAUUAGCUAUUGCUCCUUAAUGGAUGAGAUUGUAGCAGUUAUUAUGAUCCACGAUCUCAUCCAUCAAGUUUAUGAAUUUUUCAUGAAGGUUAAAAUCAAAAAAUUUGUGUGUAUCAUCUGUGCAUAAAUAUAUGAUGCUUCUACGAUUUUUUUUUUGUAUUUUGAAGAUUAAAUUAUUCAGAUUUGGAAAAUUCUUGAGCACAAGAGAUAAUGAUUCCUCAUCCAAAUAUACAACACCGACUCUAAAAUUGUGUACUUUUUUUUAUUUAGCAGACAUGAUUACUUUAAACUUUCACAAAACAAUCAUUAAAUAAAUUUCUACUUAAAUAUUUAAGAGAUGAGUUAUGAGAUCAUAUUAUAUAUGAGUUAUGUCUUCAUCAAGUUAUGUAUCUUAAUCUCAUAUUUCUCAUAACUCAAGUAUGAACAUUAUGAAUUCAUGUUAAUAAACUUUGUAGAAUAAUCAGAAAUUGUUGAUUUUCUUCUUAUUUUGGGAUAUUAUAUAUUUUGCCUCUGUUGUUGAUAUCAUAUUACUCAUUUUGGCUUUAACAAGAAGAUCUAAAUAAAUUGUACUAAUUCAGUAUAAUACAAGAAGACGAGAUUAGGUAUGUUAGAUAAGAAAAUAAUUCUGCAUAUUAAAAAAUUACAGAAUAAAAUAAUCUACUAAAUAAUCAUUUACUUGCAAAAUAGAUUUUUAUUUGUAUUUAAAUCAGAAUGAAACUAUGCUUUUUUUUUUUUAAUUAGUAAAAAGAUUUACAGAAUUGUUGUAGACUAAGCCUAAAGAAAGUCAAACGGAUCUCUCUGGUUUAUUCAACUAAACCGGUUGGUUUAGUUCCAUCAGAUUUGACUAUAAAUGUUUUAUAUACCCAAAAAAACAAAGAUGAGUAUGGCGUCGAACUACUACUCUGCUCAGAUAAAGCAAUGCAUUGGGUUGGGAGCGAGUCGCCAUGUGAAGAUGAUCCAUGGGAAUAUUAUCAGAACUCUUCCUCAUCCAGAGACGUUUUUGCAUAACAACAUCGUCCACGCGUAUGCUUUAAUCAGAAGCUCCAUUUAUGCACGCCGAGUGUUCGACGGAAUUCCCCAACCAAACCUUUUCUCCUGGAACAAUCUUCUUUUGGCUUAUUCAAAAUCUGGGCAUCUCUCAGAGAUGGAACGUACCUUUGAGAAGCUUCCUGAUCGUGAUGGUGUCACUUGGAACGUGCUUAUUGAAGGCUAUUCCUUGAGUGGAUUGGUUGGUGCCGCUGUCAAGGCUUAUAACACGAUGAUGAAAGAUUUUUCUUCUAAUUUGACUAGGGUUACGUUGAUGACAAUGUUGAAACUUUCUUCUAGCAAUGGGCAUGUUAGUUUGGGGAAGCAGAUUCAUGGGCAGGUUAUCAAACUUGGGUUUGAGUCUUAUCUUUUAGUUGGGAGUCCAUUGUUGGAUAUGUAUUCAAAAGUUGGUUGCAUCUCUGAUGCAAAGAAGGUUUUUUACGGGCUGGACGAUAGAAAUACGGUUAUGUACAAUACGCUGAUGGGUGGACUUCUAGCAUGUGGAAUGAUCGAAGAUGCACUGCAGUUAUUUCGAGGAAUGGAGAAAGAUUCAGUUUCUUGGUCAGCGAUGAUUAAAGGACUUGCUCAAAAUGGAAUGGAAAAGGAGGCUAUUGAAUGUUUCAGAGAGAUGAAAAUAGAAGGCUUGAAGAUGGAUCAAUAUCCUUUUGGAAGUGUACUACCUGCUUGUGGAGGAUUAGGAGCAAUAAACGAUGGGAGACAGAUUCAUGCUUGUAUAAUCAGAACCAAUCUUCAGGAUCACAUAUAUGUAGGCAGUGCUCUCAUUGACAUGUAUUGCAAGUGUAAGUGUUUACAUUAUGCAAAGACUGUUUUUGAUAGAAUGAAGCAGAAGAAUGUUGUGUCUUGGACAGCAAUGGUUGUGGGUUAUGGCCAGACCGGGCGUGCUGGAGAGGCUGUUAAAAUUUUCCUUGAUAUGCAAAGAAGUGGAAUUGACCCAGAUCAUUAUACUCUAGGACAAGCGAUCAGUGCGUGUGCCAACAUAAGUAGCUUAGAAGAGGGCUCCCAGUUUCAUGGAAAAGCUAUAACUGCUGGCCUAAUACAUUACAUCACUGUUUCGAAUUCAUUGGUGACUCUGUAUGGAAAAUGUGGUGAUAUUGAUGAUUCUACUAGGCUGUUCAACGAGAUGAAUGUCAGGGAUGAAGUCUCUUGGACUGCAAUGGUUUCUGCGUAUGCCCAAUUUGGAAGGGCUGUCGAGGCUAUACAGUUGUUUGACAAAAUGGUUCAACUAGGACUAAAACCUGAUGGAGUGACUUUGACCGGUGUUAUUUCUGCUUGCAGCAGGGCAGGGUUAGUGGAGAAAGGACAAAGAUAUUUUGAGUUAAUGAUAAAUGAAUAUGGAAUAGUGCCGAGUAAUGGCCAUUAUUCUUGCAUGAUCGAUCUGUUUAGUAGAUCUGGAAGGAUAGAGGAAGCCAUGGGUUUCAUAAAUGGGAUGCCGUUUCGUCCAGAUGCAAUUGGUUGGACUACUUUACUCAGCGCAUGUAGAAAUAAAGGUAACUUGGAAAUAGGUAAAUGGGCGGCUGAAUCACUCAUAGAAUUAGAUCCUCACCAUCCUGCUGGCUAUACCCUAUUAUCAAGCAUAUAUGCUUCAAAGGGGAAAUGGGAUUGUGUGGCCCAGUUAAGGCGGGGAAUGAAAGAGAAGAACGUGAGAAAAGAACCCGGACAGAGUUGGAUCAAAUGGAAAGGAAAAUUGCACAGUUUCUCAGCUGAUGACGAGUCGAGUCCAUAUUCAGAUCAGAUAUAUGCUAAGCUCGAGGAAUUGUACCAAAAAAUCAUAGAUAAUGGUUAUAAACCAGAUACCAGUUUUGUCCACCAUGAUGUCGAGGAAGCUGUUAAAAUAAAGAUGCUUAACUGUCACAGUGAAAGGCUUGCAAUUGCUUUUGGGUUGAUAUUUGUACCCUCAGGCCUACCUAUUAGAGUAGGAAAAAAUCUUCGAGUGUGUGUGGAUUGCCACAAUGCCACUAAACAUAUCUCAAGCGUCACUGGUAGAGAGAUACUUGUCAGAGAUGCUGUUAGGUUUCACCGUUUUAAAGAUGGAACUUGCUCAUGCGGAGAUUUCUGGUAGGUUUUAUCUUGGAAUUUUCUGAACAUAGAGCAAAGCAUGAUGAAUCUCCAUCACUAAUCUGAAAAAUCAAAACAGAGCCGGGUAGAUUCAAGUAAGACUUAUUUCUCUUUGCUUCCAAUAUUUUCUCAUUUUCUGAUGCUAGUCUUCUAAUUUUAUUUUUGUGCUGCCAAUCUUUGUAAUAGGAUUCGGAGCCUGAAUAGUUGCAUUGGACUCCAAUUGGGUGAAUUGUUCAUAUAAUUUGACUGCAACAUGGACAAAGCUGGAGAACAUGAAUGGUAAGGGCUAACUGGAUUUGUGAUUUUAUAUAUCAUAAAGUUGAAGAUUGGUGGUUUAGUUUCUGUUCUUUCGAUACACUAACUGGAAAUCGGUGUACUAUAAAGGCGUGUGGAUCCAUAAACAAAGUAUUCACGUUUUAAUGAUCAAAGUUGUCAGGAGAAUGUGAACUACUAUUUCUUUUGUGACCACAACGUAAUAAAAUCACAUUUCAAACUGAAUACUUUAUACACAGUGAGCAGAGAGAGAGAGCAAUAGUUCAUAACAGUUAAAAAUUUUGACAUGUUAGUUUUUUAUGUGAUAUAAGUAGAGAAACUUGGCAUCUUGUCCAAACGCCUCAAAAUAUUUUCUGCCAUCUGCCUUGUGUUACCAUCUCCACGAUGGAAGGCACUAACCAACAUACCUGACAGCAUCCUAUCUUGUGAUAUUUCACUGGCAUACUUAUCUCCGCCUCUAAUUAUGAACUUGUCAAUCAUCCAAAAUGCUUUCUGCAAUAGAGACUCUUUCUUGUGUUCUUUGACUGCAUUUAGAAUUAGUUGUACUGCAUUCAUUUCACUCAGCAUGCUUAAACUCUUCUCCACAUCGACCUUGUCAUCUAAUAGCGUGCAUAUAGCAGCUAAUGCUGACUCCACUACCUCUACUUUAUCACUCUGCAAACAUGCUAGUAGCUUCGUGAUUGCAUUUGCUUCAACCAAGCAAAAUGUGUUUUUUGCAGAACAUACCCCUCUGUGGAUUGCACAGAUUUCUAUUUGCUUCUUUUUGGAUGAACGGAGGGAAAAAGACCUAGGCAUACUCAGGGAUCCCAUGAAUUUCGUGCUCCUAGGUUGAGGUGGCCUCGAUAAAGUCAUAGUUGUAGAUGAUAGAUUUUCUAGUCCAGUCGCUGAUAACCUUUGAACUUCGUCGCUUGAUGUUUUCAUCAAUAAAUCAACAAACACUGAUGUCAAAUCAUGGUUUCUGGCUAGGUACAUCAUUUGGGGCUCGUACAAUGUAGUUGUGAAUCUCACUAAGAUGCCAACGAGACCUUCCAGAAAAUCAGUAGCAUACCUGCUUGUUCGUGUUCCACUUCUUUGAAUCAGAUGGAUUGCAUGCAGAAUUUCAGACACUAUGCUCUCGUUGACCAGUGCUAAAUUAAGAGUCAGAUUUUGAUGAGGCAGUUUAGCAAGUAACUUAGCUGAAACAGCAUGCUUUUCUGUUAUUUGAUUUGCUUCUACUGGGCACUGGAUAAGAUUCUCUGGCUGGCCUCUAGUUUUACAUAGUCUCUCUGAUAGCGUGUGACCGAUGUAGGGGGUAAGUGCUAUCAGAAGUUUUAAUGCUCCAACCCCCAAUUCUUCAUGAGGAUUGUUGAUGAGUUCUAUCAUGGCGAAGCUUGCGUCGGUUUCUUUGAUCACUGAGACAAUUGUUGCCAUCGCCCUGGGUGAUUUGGACAAGGAUAGGAGUAUCCUGAUCAAAUUAAUGUUAAGAUCGUCUGGGCUUGAGUUCUUGAGCAUUUGGAUGAUGUUGUAUACAAAGUAAUCCGAGCCUAAUGUGUGGCCAUGAGUAUUCACCUCAAAGGUCUCAUGUUCCAGCCCAGAUUCCAGUAUAUUUGCAAGUAUUGUAGCAGCUUCGUUCCUGGAGUUCAUCAGAUCACUAAAAACUCGCUUGGUGAACAUCUCUUCGACCAUGAUCUUGAUGAUGCCAACUUCUACCAAUAUCUGGUUGUUGGGGUGAUACAAUGAAAUAUGAGCUAGAGCUUUGAAGGCGGCUCUUCUAGCGUCAGUAUUUUCACUUUGCACCAGCCCAAUGAGCGCAGGGCAAGCCUUCUCAGCUACGUAAGUUUUUUUCUCAUGUCCAAUAUCAAUUUCCACAAGGUACGCAGCCAUUGCCACCUGAGUCUCUUCACUCCCUGCCAUAUAUCAUUCGGAAGCAAACUGAUAUUAAUCAACAUCAAUUCAUUGUUUAUCAUUUCACCCCAGGUAAUGCUUACAUAGUAACUAAGCUCCAUAUACUUUGGAGAGAAAAGCAGUAAUGAAUUACCUUCUGCUAGAUGCCCCAGAAGAGGUUCCAAUAGCCCACUCUCUGCCAUUUGCUUGAUAUUCUCAGGACACUUCUCUAGAUUUCUUAAGAUUUUGUCUGAUGUUUCAGAUGCAAAGGCAUCCAACUCUCUGUUAUACUUCGCGGUAACUAACAUCAAUAUCGCCCCUGUAGCAGUCCCAAUCUUCUCACACGCAUGUUGGGAUUUCGAAAGCUCAAGCAGUAAGGCUUGUGCUGCAUGUCUUACAGGCUGGUGACUGCUUCCCAAAAGUUUGAUUAUGCAUGACAUAGUUAUUGUCUUCGUAAUCAUUUCCUGUAAGAUACUUCGAAACAUAAAAAUCUAUUGAAACAAGAAGUAGAAGUCCUUUGUCUAGGACAAAGAAAUACAGCAGCGCAUAUCAUGUAAGGUAGUGUGCUCUUGCAUAAUGGGUAAGUAAAAGAGAUCCAACCUUUCCGUCAUCAGUGUCUUCAUCCGCCAGUGUCCUUAACAACCGUAGCAGCUCAUACCUCACAUCUUUACUUCUGUAUGUCAGGUAUCUAUCAAGCAGCUGAAUGAUCCCAGCUUCACGGACUCGUACCUUGUUGUACUGUUUCCCUUCACAGGUCAUUUGCAGAUCUCUGAAUGCGUCGAUAACCAUACUUUCUGAACCGCCUAAGGAUAAAGCUGCAUGAGCCACUUUGAUUCUUGCUGCCUCGUUACGUACUUUCCAUUCCUGAAUGAUGGUUUUCAAGACAACAUUUUCACUUAAUUCAGUGGUCAACUUUUGCCCGGUAACUGGACAGUUGAUCUCAUCGGAGUUUCCAAAACUGUCAAACCACUCUAUUACUGCUUGUCUUUCGCAGGUUACUCCUGUUUCUGUGGUGACAGGAUCAUCCAUUAUCUCUUUGGUCAAUGGGCAGAUGAAAGCUUGGUAUGGAGGCUCCAUGAACUGUGUCACCUGUGGUAACAUUGACAAGGAUUCGCUAAGAAUUCCAUACUUUCUCUGGCUGCUAGCAUUCGAGCUCUGGCUUGGGAUAUCUGGUAUUUCGGUAAUUUGUGAUUGUGAUUUACUGAGAUCUCCAUGCUCUCUCUGGCUGCUAACAUAUGUGCUCUGGCUUGGGAUAUCUGGUAUUUCGGUUACUUGUGAUUGUGAUUCACUAUGAUUUCCAUGCUUUCUCUGGCGGCUAACAUAUGUGCUCUGGCUUGGGAUAUCUGGUAUUUCGGUCAUUGAUUGUGAUUCACUAUACAUCAUGUAACUUUCAUAGGAAAAUUCAGGAUCAGUGGGAUAGAGAUCUUCCUCCAUUUGCUCUGACACAAUUUCCGGUGAAUGCUUUGCAGAAAUCUUCUGCUGCCCAUUCUGUAUCAUCUCACUUUUACUACCAUCUCCAAUGUUAGCAUUCUGCAUCUCAUUUGAAAGAGACUGAAUAACCACUCCUAUAUAUUCUUCCUCGUCGAAUGUUGAUUCGGGUAUGGACUGCAAAGUUUCACCCAUCUGCUUCACAACACCUUCAAAACCUGCCUCAAUGCUUCUCAGAUCAGUAGUUGAUUCAGCUCCGUUACUUUCUUGAGAUUUCUCAACCAGAUUCUUGGCCACAUCUACACUAUCGGAUAGUGAUUCAAAAAUAUCAAUUGAACAUACGACGUUGCUCUCUGCUGUCUGUAUCUCCAUUAACACAACUGAAACUCGAUAAAAGUAGCAAGCGCAUUCGAGGACCUCUCUGUUUCUGCUUGCAAGGACUCCAAAGAUGUGAUCACCUCAGAAAUGGACCCUAACAACGAUCCAAUCAGAGUAUCACUUGUGCCUAUAUCUUCUUCUUGAGUCUGAGAUCACAAAAAUAGGCGGAAAGGUGAGAGAUUCCGUUGGUUUCAGAAUUGAGAUGAUUCGAAAGAUAUGAUCAAGAAUUUUUUUGAAGGUGCAAAAGGAAACAAGAGAAGAUUGAAGAAAGUCUUACCGACAUCCCAUUUGUUCAAAGAUGGUCUUGUCUCACUCUGCUUACCAAGUCUCCAACAGUUAACUUCAUCUAGCAAAAGACUUGAAGGACACACUUGGUCCUCUGUUUCAGAGAAGUUGGAACCCACUAAAGGUAAAUUUGUUGCUCUGAUGAUGAUUGAGGAGACGACUUUUUAGGAGGAAGUGGGGUCACAGUAAAAUUGAAGGAGUCAAAUCAGAGACUCUGAUUCAGAGUAGUUUGUUAAGCAUAUUCUUUACGAAAACAUGUGUUUGGAUUUUGUUGACUUUGUUUGCUUCUUCUUGCACUAUCUCUCUUCUGCAGAUGAUGGUUGGUCUGAAACUUUUUGUUGUACUUUGACGUCUUCCUGAUAUUUCCGUGUACUUUGUUUAAAUACAAAAGAAUUUGGUGGGUACUGUCCAAUGUCGUUGUCUUUCUUUCUUUAUUGGGUUUUGUUUAAUGAUAAAAUCUUGAAUUGGUAAGAUAUGCCAUUGGAUCACAUUGACUUGUAUAUAUAUCUCUCUUCAUGUUCGUUGUAGUGGUGCAGAAUAAUAUUUGAUCAAGUCGUUGUUUCUUGCUUGGCUCUUGGGUAUAAAAUAUAUAUAUCAAAAGAUGUGGAGUUUUUUAUUCAUUACCAAUUGUUUUGAGUUAGUCUAUCCUUUCUUUACACUUUUUACAUUGCUUGAAUUAAAAUUACAAACUCUCUUUGAAUUUGAAAGCAUUGGAAGAGAUAACUUUUCUCUGUUUUCCAUCAAUUGGAAUUAUGAUGACUCUGACAUACUUAUUUGGAGAAAGAGUAGGCUUUAGCAUCCUUCUUAUCAUAAUGUAGCUAGCAUUUGGAAAGAUUUAAAGAUCUGAUGAGUCUUAAUACUCCAUCUAACAUUCAGGGCAGAGUAAGUGAUUGAGUCUUUGCCUGAGGGAGGUGUUUUGCGUAAUAAUCUCUGCUUAUUCUGCUUUUUUCAAGUCAAGUUGCUCCAUUUGUUGUUUCAUUCAUUCUCUCAAUUGAAGUUAAGCGUUUGAGUCCACAUUUAACAUUAUAAGAAAACCAAUAAUGGUAUGAAAGCUUUCACAGUUCUAAAUUAACAAUAAAGAGCAUACAUUUUCCCUCUUUUCUUUUCUUAAUUGUAUCUAGUUUGGGUUUAGAAUCUGAAAUCUUUCAUUUGACAAUAAUCAUAUGUCCAUUGCUCACAUCCAUGUGAAUUAUAUGAUAGAUAUAUAGAAGAAACACACUACUGAGAACACUUGAAUAAGAUCUAUUUUAAGACAAAAAUCAUCAAUUUGUAAAAGCUCUGUCAUUUUCAAAACUCAAAACUUUACACUUAAAAAAAAUAAAAGCUUUGCAUGUCACAGGAGAGGACUCAGAUUCGCCUUUUCUCAGACAAAUUAGAGGAUAUACUCAUCCGCCAUGGCUGCUAAUUCCUUAUAGCCCUGCCAUGAAAGAGAGUGUUACCACAAUGUCUGGUCUAUUGACUUCUUAAGAAUCAUCAUAGUCGAGCUUAACCCAAAAAAACAACCUCCGGGAGCAGAGCCUCAUACUUAAACUAAUGAAGGUCAAGAAC